CCAGAGGGAAGCGCAAAAAACCAGAGCUGUUCCUGGAACCAGGAGGGUGGGUUCAUUGGCCUGGCGGAGGCAGAGAGGGAAAGGGGCAUCAAGAGAGCAAAGUUGGCUUCUAGAACUGACCACAGUCUUCCAGGUGUGGUCUGGCCAAGGCCAAGGACAGCAGUCAGACCAUCAUGCCCACUCCUGGACACGCGGGCAUCUCAGCGUAGCCUAAGGUGACAUGCGAUGUUUUGGCUCCUGUAUCAUGUUGCUGAGCUCGCUCUUCACUAAAACCCUCAGAUCUUUUUGCAGAAGGGCCAUCUUCUACAAGAGUGGUGGGAAUCAGGACCUCCUGGGAAGCCAUGGCUUGACCUGUAAGAGGGACCUUGGCCUAAUCCCAAGGGGGGAUUGACUAACCUAUCAGAGGAUGGGAAGAUGGGUUGCAACCACCCGCCCCUUAACAGGGCUUGAUGAAUGAA